GGAUAUAGCUCAGCUUGGUAGAGCACCUGCUUUGGGAGCAGGGGGUCGUAGGUUCAAAUCCUACUAUCC
rnacentral:tRNA from 2 species